CCUACGAGUGGCAGCAGUAGGGAAUAUUGCUCAAUGGGGGAAACCCUGAAGCAGCAACGCCGCGUGGAGGAUGAAGGUCUUCGGAUCGUAAACCUCUGUCAGCAGGGAAGAACGGUCACUGUGCUAAUCAGCAGUGAAUUGACGGUACCUGCAAAGGAAGCACCGGCUAACUCCGUGCCAGCAGCCGCGGUAAUACGGAGGGUGCGAGCGUUAAUCGGAAUUACUGGGCGUAAAGCGCUCGUAGGCGGUAUGUCAAGUCAAGGGUGAAAUCCCCGCGCUCAACGUGGGAACUGCCUUUGAAACUGGCAAACUGGAGUGUGUGAGAGGAUAGUGGAAUUCCAGGUGUAGGAGUGAAAUCCGUAGAUAUCUGGAGGAACAUCAGUGGCGAAGGCGACUAUCUGGCACAUAACUGACGCUGAGGAGCGAAAGCGUGGGUAGCAAACAGGAUUAGAUACCCUUGUAGUC
rnacentral:rRNA from 1 species